ACAACAUAAAGGCACCGCUGUUGCCAGGCAACACCAAAGCUGCGGAGUGAGGAGCAUGAGCCUGAACAGACAUUAGUGGAGUGUGCAGGAGAGGCCAGGGGGCCGUUCAGAGAAGAAAGCUGGGUGAACUGACUCAGGGAUGGGCCUUACAGCUGCUCCCACCCAGAAUAAUCCAUGGCUCCUCCUCCUCCUGCAGGCCCUGAGAAUACCCAGCCGCCACAUUCUGCUGAAUCCAGUUCUCCCAUUUCUCUCGAAAAUUUUGAGCAUUAUGAAGAUGGAUGCUACGUCUUGCUUACCAGUGCUCUCCCAGCACCUCAUACUAUUCCUGGAAUACAUUCAACAAAUAUUGGCUGAAUGAGGCUGAAAACCAAACUUCCAAAUCUUAGGCUUAUGCCCAUUAGACUCUCAUAUCUGUAGCACACAAGAUUAAAUGCAUGACAUGCAUAUAAUCUGGAAAGGGGAUUUAUUCAUGACAAGUUAAUGAGCCAACCACUUAGUAUCAUUAAACAGACAGCAUUUACCCUUA